rnacentral:rRNA from 1 species
GACGAACGCUGGCGGCGUGCUUAACACAUGCAAGUCGAACGGAAAGGCCCUGCUUUUGUGGGGUGCUCGAGUGGCGAACGGGUGAGUAACACGUGAGUAACCUGCCCUUGACUUUGGGAUAACUUCAGGAAACUGGGGCUAAUACCGGAUAGGAGCUCCUGCUGCAUGGUGGGGGUUGGAAAGUUUCGGCGGUUGGGGAUGGACUCGCGGCUUAUCAGCUUGUUGGUGGGGUAGUGGCUUACCAAGGCUUUGACGGGUAGCCGGCCUGAGAGGGUGACCGGCCACAUUGGGACUGAGAUACGGCGCAGACUCCUACGGGAGGCAGCAGUGGGGAAUAUUGCACAAUGGGCGGAAGCCUGAUGCAGAAACGCCGCGUGCGGGAUGACGUCCUUCGGGUUGUAAACCGCUUUCGCCUGUGACGAAGCGUGAGUGACGGUAAUGGGUAAAGAAGCACCGGCUAACUACGUG